GACGAACGCUGGCGGCGUGCUUAACACAUGCAAGUCGAACGGAAAGGCCCUGCUUUUGUGGGGUGCUCGAGUGGCGAACGGGUGAGUAACACGUGAGUAACCUGCCCUUGACUUUGGGAUAACUUCAGGAAACUGGGGCUAAUACCGGAUAGGAGCUCCUGCUGCAUGGUGGGGGUUGGAAAGUUUCGGCGGUUGGGGAUGGACUCGCGGCUUAUCAGCUUGUUGGUGGGGUAGUGGCUUACCAAGGCUUUGACGGGUAGCCGGCCUGAGAGGGUGACCGGCCACAUUGGGACUGAGAUCCGGCCCAGACUCCUACGGGAGGCAGCAGUGGGGAAUAUUGCACAAUGGGCGGAAGCCUGAUGCAGCAACGCCGCGUGCGGGAUGACGGCCUUCGGGUUGUAAACCGCUUUCGCCUGUGACGAAGCGUGAGUGACGGUAAUGGGUAAAGAAGCCCCGGCUAACUAC
rnacentral:rRNA from 1 species